GACGAACGCUGGCGGCGUGCUUAACACAUGCAAGUCGAACGGAAAGGCCCUGCUUUUGUGGGGUGCUCGAGUGGCGAACGGGUGAGUAACACGUGAGUAACCUGCCCUUGACUUUGGGAUAACUUCAGGAAACUGGGGCUAAUACCGGAUAGGAGCUCCUGCUGCAUGGUGGGGGUUGGAAAGUUUCGGCGGUUGGGGAUGGGCUCGCGGCUUAUCAGCUUGUUGGUGGGGUAGUGGCUUACCAAGGCUUUGACGGGUAGCCGGCCUGAGAGGGUGACCGGCCACAUUGGGACUGAGAUACGGCCCAGACUCCUACGGGAGGCAGCAGUGGGGAAUAUUGCACAAUGGGCGGAAGCCUGAUGCAGCAACGCCGCGUGCGGGAUGACGGCCUUCGGGUUGUAAACCACUUUCGCCUGUGACGAAGCGUGAGUGACGGUAAUGGGUAAAGAAGCACCGGCUAACUACGUG
rnacentral:rRNA from 1 species